CCCUCAACAUGAGCCAACUUCAACCACAGAAGCUACUAAUGUUACCUCUGGUGGGCAGAUAGCUUUCCCAGAAGAAAUGGUUGUUGCAUCUAAAGGAAAAAAGAAGGCAUCUGCUACCAGGCAUGGUUCAUUCAAAAUGUUAAAGGGUGCAUGCACUGGUGGGAUAAUUAUUGGAAGGGAAGCUAGACAUUCUGCUUCGUUCAUCACUAUUGACCAACUAGUUGAAAGAACUAGUUAGCAUCAACAUACCAAUGAACAUAUUACUGCAGGUGGAGAUGGUCCAGAAUUCUUAACUCAGCAAAGCAUCACAA